rnacentral:rRNA from 1 species
GGAAUAUUGGACAAUGGGCGAAAGCCUGAUCCAGCCAUGCCGCGUGUGUGAAGAAGGUCUUCGGAUUGUAAAGCACUUUAAGUUGGGCGGAAGGGCAGUAACUUAAUACGUUGCUGUUUUGACGUUACCGACCGCAUAAGCACCGGCUAACCCUGUGCCAGCAGCCGCGGUAAUACAGAGGGUGCAAGCGUUAAUCGGACUUACUGGGCGUAAAGCGCGCGUAGGUGGUCCGUUAAGUUGGAUGUGAAAGCCCCGGGCUCAACCUGGGAACUGCAUUCAAAACUGUCGAGCUAGAGUACGGUAGAGGGUGGUGGAAUUUCCUGUGUAGCGGUGAAAUGCGUAGAUAUAGGAAGGAACACCAGUGGCGAAGGCGACCACCUGGACUGAUACUGACACUGAGGUGCGAAAGCGUGGGGAGCAAAC